GAUGAACGCUAGCGGCAGGCCUAAUACAUGCAAGUCGAACGGUAACAUGAGAGCUUGCUCUUGAUGACGAGUGGCGCACGGGUGCGUAACGCGUAUGCAACCUACCUAUUACAGGGGGAUAGCCCGAAGAAAUUCGGAUUAAUACCCCAUAGUAUAACUAGAAGGCAUCUGAAGGUUAUUAAAGAUUUAUCGGUAAUAGAUGGGCAUGCGUAAGAUUAGCUAGUUGGUGAGGUAACGGCUCACCAAGGCCACGAUCUUUAGGGGGUCUGAGAGGAGUGAUCCCCACCACUGGUACUGAGA
rnacentral:rRNA from 1 species